UACAGAGGUCCCAAGCGUUGUUCGGAUUCACUGGGCGUAAAGGGUGCGUAGGUGGUCGGGUAAGUCUGAUGUGAAAUCUCCGAGCUUAACUCGGAAAUGGCAUUGGAUACUAUUCGGCUGGAGGUUUGGAGGGGGACUGGAAUUCUCGGUGUAGCAGUGAAAUGCGUAGAUAUCGAGAGGAACACCAGUGGCGAAGGCGAGUCCCUGGACAACACCUGACACUGAGGCACGAAAGCUAGGGGAGCAAACAGG
rnacentral:rRNA from 1 species